rnacentral:rRNA from 1 species
UACGUAGGGUGCAAGCGUUAUUCGGAAUUAUUGGGCGUAAAGGGCGCGUAGGCGGCUGUACAAGUCAAAGGUGAAAUCCCUCGGCUCAACUGAGGAACUGCCUUUGAAACUGUACGGCUUGAGGCCGGGAGGGGGUAGCGGAAUUCCCAGUGUAGCGGUGAAAUGCGUAGAUACUGGGAGGAACACCAGUGGCGAAGGCGGCUACCUGGACCGGUUCUGACGCUGAGGCGCGAAAGCGUGGGUAGCAAACAGG